rnacentral:rRNA from 1 species
UACGUAGGGUGCAAGCGUUGUCCGGAAUUAUUGGGCGUAAAGAGCUCGUAGGCGGUUUGUCGCGUCUGCUGUGAAAACCCGAGGCUCAACCUCGGGUCUGCAGUGGGUACGGGCAGACUAGAGUGCGGUAGGGGAGAUUGGAAUUCCUGGUGUAGCGGUGAAAUGCGCAGAUAUCAGGAGGAACACCGGUGGCGAAGGCGGUUCUCUGGGCCUGUACUGACGCUGAGGAACGAAAGCGUGGGGAGCGAACAGG